rnacentral:tRNA from 1 species
AGCAGAGUGGCGCAGCAGAAGCGUGCUGGGCCCAUAACCCAGAAGUCGAUGGAUCGAAGCCAUCCUCUGCUA